GACGAACGCUGGCGGCGUGCUUAACACAUGCAAGUCGAACGGAAAGGCACCUUUGGGGGUACUCGAGUGGCGAACGGGUGAGUAACACGUGAGUAACCUGCCCUUGACUUCGGGAUAACUUCAGGAAACUGGGGCUAAUACCGGAUAGGAAUCCUUGCUGCAUGGUGGGGGUUGGAAAGCUUCGGCGGUUUUGGAUGGACUCGCGGCUUAUCAGCUUGUUGGUGGGGUAGUGGCUUACCAAGGCUUUGACGGGUAGCCGGCCUGAGAGGGCGACCGGCCACAUUGGGACUGAGAUACGGCCCAGACUCCUACGGGAGGCAGCAGUGGGGAAUAUUGCACAAUGGGCGGAAGCCUGAUGCAGCAACGCCGCGUGCGGGAUGACGGCCUUCGGGUUGUAAACCGCUUUCAGCAGGGGCGAAGCUUUUGUGACGGUACCUGCAGAAGAAGCACCGGCUAACUACGUG
rnacentral:rRNA from 1 species